UCUGGUGACGAUGGCGAAGUGGACACACCUGUUCCCAUCCCGAACACAGAAGUUAAGCACUUCAGCGCCGAAAAUAGUUCUAAGGAGCGAAAAUAGGUCGUUGCCAGGC
rfam:Tenericutes bacterium GWF2_38_8 gwf2_scaffold_13804, whole genome shotgun sequence.